GGCCUGCUGAGGGCAGAUAAAGUGUACGUGCGAGUCUAUGCCGCCUGCUGUAACAAUCAGUCCUUCACCUGCUAUAACCUCGGUGCCGGCACCAAUCUGAAAAUCAACAUUAUCCUGAAUGUCUUUAUUGCCUGCUUUUCCGAUAGCGGCAAUGCGUCCAUGCUUGAUGCCGAUAUCUGCCUUGUAGAUACCUGUAUAAUCAAGGAUCACCGCAUUGGUGAUAACUGUAUCUACAGUAUCCUUAUCAAGAGCCUGGCUCUGCCCCUGACCGUCA
rnacentral:sRNA from 1 species